AUUGAACGCUGGCGGCAUGCCUUACACAUGCAAGUCGAACGGUAACAGGUCUUCGGAUGCUGACGAGUGGCGAACGGGUGAGUAAUACAUCGGAACGUGCCCGAUCGUGGGGGAUAACGGAGCGAAAGCUUUGCUAAUACCGCAUAAGAUCUACGGAUGAAAGCAGGGGACCGCAAGGUCUUGCGCGAACGGAGGGGCCGAUGGCAGAUUAGGUUGUUGGUGGGAGAAAAGCUUACCCAGCCGACGAUCUGUAGCUGGUCUGAGAGGACGACCAGGCACACUGGGACUGAGACACGGCCCAGACGCCUACGGGAGGCAGCAGUGGGGAAUCUUGCACAAUGGGCGAAAGCCUGAUGCAGCAACGCCGCGUGAGUGAAGAAGGCCCUUGGGUUGUAAAGCUCUUUCGACUCUGAAGAGGGGGCAGAGGUCUAAUAGGCCUUUGUUCUGACGGUAGGAGAUGAAGAAGCACCGGCUAACUCCGUGCCAGCCGCCGCCGUAAUAC
rnacentral:rRNA from 1 species